GAUGAACGCUGGCGGCGUGCCUAAUACAUGCAAGUCGAGCGAAGCGGGGACGGGUGAGUCACACUUGGAUAACCUCCUAUAGUACUGGGAUAACUUCGGGAACCCGGAGCAAACCCUUAUCCUUCUAGAUGGCUCCUCGCUGCAUUGUCUAGUUGGUAAGGUAACGGCUUACAAAGGCAACGAUGCAUAGCCGACCGUAGAGGGUGAACGGCCACACUGGAACUGAGACACGGGCCAGACUCCUACGGGAGGCAGCAGUGGGGAAUCUUCCGCAAUGGGCGAAAGCCUGACGGAGCAACGCCGCGUGAGUGAUGAAGGUCUUCGGAUCGUAAAACUCUGUUAUUAGGGAAGCGGUACCUAAUCAGAAAGCCACGGCUAACUACGUGCCAGCAGCCGCGGUAAUAC
rnacentral:rRNA from 1 species